rnacentral:rRNA from 1 species
UACGUAGGGUGCAAGCGUUAAUCGGAAUUACUGGGCGUAAAGCGUGCGCAGGCGGUUUUGUAAGUCUGUCGUGAAAUCCCCAGGCUCAACCUGGGAACUGCGUCCGAUACUGGCAGGCUUGAAUCCGGGAGAGGGAUGUGGAAUUCCAGGUGUAGCGGUGAAAUGCGUAGAUAUCUGGAGGAACACCGGUGGCGAAGGCGGCAUCCUGGACCGAUACUGACGCUGAGGAGCGAAAGCGUGGGGAGCGAACAGG